UACCAGCACCCCGAGUGGUCGGGACGAUUAUUGGGCCUAAAGCAUCCGUAGCCGGUCCUACAAGUCUUCCGUUAAAUCCACCUGCUUAACAGAUGGGCUGCGGAAGAUACUAUAGGGCUAGGAGGCGGGAGAGGCAAGCGGUACUCAGUGGGUAGGGGUAAAAUCCUCUGAUCCAUUGAAGACCACCAGUGGCGAAGGCGGCUUGCCAGAACGCGCUCGACGGUGAGGGAUGAAAGCUGGGGGGAGCAAACCGG
rnacentral:rRNA from 1 species